AUUGAACGCUGGCGGCAGGCCUAACACAUGCAAGUCGAGCGGAUGACGGGAGCUUGCUCCUUGAUUCAGCGGCGGACGGGUGAGUAAUGCCUAGGAAUCUGCCUGGUAGUGGGGGACAACGUUUCGAAAGGAACGCUGAUACCGCAUACGUCCUACGGGAGAAAGCAGGGGACCUUCGGGCCUUGCGCUAUCAGAUGAGCCUAGGUCGGAUUAGCUAGUAGGUGAGGUAAUGGCUCACCUAGGCGACGAUCCGUAACUGGUCUGAGAGGAUGAUCAGUAACACUGGAACUGAGACACGGUCCAGACUCCUACGGGAGGCAGCAGUGGGGAAUAUUGGACAAUGGGCGAAAGCCUGAUUCAGCCAUGCCGCGUGUGUGAGGAAGGUCUUCGGAUUGUAAAGCACUUUAAGUUGGGAGGAAGGGCAGUAAGCUAAUACCUUGCUGUUUUGACGUUACCGACAGAAUAAGCACCGGCUAACUCUGUGCCAGCAGCCGCCGUAAGAC
rnacentral:rRNA from 1 species